GAUGAACGCUGGCGGCGUGCCUAAUACAUGCAAGUCGAGCGAACAGAUAAGGAGCUUGCUCCUUUGACGUUAGCGGCGGACGGGUGAGUAACACGUGGGUAACCUACCUAUAAGACUGGAAUAACUCCGGGAAACCGGGGCUAAUGCCAGAUAACAUUUAGAACCGCAUGGUUCUAAAGUGAAAGAUGGUUUUGCUAUCACUUAUAGAUGGACCCGCGCCGUAUUAGCUAGUUGGUAAGGUAACGGCUUACCAAGGCAACGAUACGUAGCCGACCUGAGAGGGUGAUCGGCCACACUGGAACUGAGACACGGUCCAGACUCCUACGGGAGGCAGCAGUAGGGAAUCUUCCGCAAUGGGCGAAAGCCUGACGGAGCAACGCCGCGUGAGUGAUGAAGGUCUUCGGAUCGUAAAACUCUGUUAUUAGGGAAGAACAAAUGUGUAAGUAACUGUGCACGUCUUGACGGUACCUAAUCAGAAAGCCACGGCUAACUACGUG
rnacentral:rRNA from 1 species